AGCGGCUGGAAGCGGGGUGUCAUCUACGCUGAGCUGAUCCUCGGGGGCCAGCACAGCAGCCCGCCCUUAGCCCGAGGGAGCUACUGGUUCUGUGGGGUAUCGCUGGCGAGGAAGGAGAACAGAAGGAGGUGGCUUUGUGGGCUGAAAUACCCCGGGCUCCCCUCCACCAUGCCCUUGCUGAAGAGAGCGGGGGGGGGGGGCAUUUGAGAUCGCUCCAGUACUGCCCCAGGUUUGUUCCACACAGGUUGUGAAGACAGUGCCCAUCUUCCCUCCGUAGGGCUCUUCCUCUAAGAGGCUCUGUUGGACCACCCUGCUUCUCCAACAGUACUGCCUCUCAGAACUGCCAGCUGUUAAGGCACCUUGUCUUUGGCCCCAAGGCCUCCUGCAAAGAAAUUGGAGAGAGACUGAACAUCCAUGGGGUCUUCCAGCCUCCUGCUGCUCCAUCACAGUUAGGAGAUAAGGUUGUGUGUGCAGAAUGGUCAAUUUGUAAAUGAUCCAGUGCUUAAUCUUGAAAAACACACAUCAUCCUUCUCUGCCUACCAUUUGAGCUCACAGUAAGAGACUCUGGAGCUCAUCACCCCAGCAGUAACUCCUGGAAGUAUUAUGUAAGGUAAUAAAGGUUUUAGUGCAUGUCAUAGGUCAGCAGAUUUUGCAGUCAGUGUUUACAAUUGAUGCAGGAUAUAUAUUCUGUACCCUACUAGAGCUGUCACCUAUCUAGAUGUUUGCAGAGCUUGCAAGACAUUAAAACAAUCUUGCAAUAGCCUUAGGGCUAAUGCAACAUCGUGACAUGAUGAUGGUUGUCUAUGUCACACUGAAUUUUUUGGGAAACAUUCAGCAAAAAUGGUUCAGUCAUUUCCAGGAAGGAGUUUAGGGAAAAAUAGGCUGAUUUGUGUAAAAAAAAAAAAAAAAAUUCUUGCAGUUGUUUCUUCGAGAAACUACAGUGCCUCCAUACUUGGGAGUAGGGACAUGAAAUUUGGCAUGGGAGGUGCCCUAGUGUCAGAGAUGUGGCUUUUGCUGUCCCUGUGAAAAUCUGCCAAAUUUGGCCAAGUUAUAAACCUCUGAAAAAUCUCCGUUCACCCAUGCUUAGCCUUGUUAGAAUUUGACAGAAGAAUUCUGAGAAGAUUUCAUCUGCCCUGAACAUACUCCAUCCCUCCAUGCCAACUGAACUGCCCACGUGCCAUCCUCUCAGAGCAACGGAACAUGCUCCAACCAAAGGCUGCAGGGACUGAACAAACUUUUCCUGUAAUUGCUUUUCCUGGCAGCCUGAUUUUUGAAUGCUUAACUUUGCAACUCUAGCAUUCUCUUAACAUUGUUUUUUUGUAUGCAGUAUUUGAUACAGAAUAUAAUUAGUGUGGAGAGAAACAGAAUAUAGUUCAGUCUAAUUCAUUUUAAACUCAGCUGUUGUAGCUUGUCUUUAAAAUUGUAUGUUCUUUGGGGCAGGGACUGUCUUUUACUAUAUAGCCAUAUAGCACACAGUACAAGAAGUUCCUAACCUGGUAGAGCCUUUAGGCAAUACUGUAUUACACAUAAGUUAAUCGAUACAGAUGUCAUUUGGGCUUGCUGUCGCAUAUGGUAAUAGGUCAGGAACAUCAAAGAAAUCUGAAAAGGAAAGCAAAAUUGCAAAUCUGAUUGGAGACGUAUCAUGCCCACCCAUAGACCAGAGAGUUUGGUCUUGGACUGGAACAGAACUGGAAGAAAGAGACUAGCCAGGGAAGGAGAAAAUGCAUUCUCUAUAAAUGUUAGAUUGUGAUUCUUAACUAAAACAAAAUGGAUUAGACUGAUCUUAAUUAGCUUCCGCAGUAUCAGGCUGGACAUAUCAUGCAAACAGUUUCUUUUAAUCAGUCUGAUUUUCUCUCUCUUUUUCAACAACGUUUUUUUUGCCACAAUCCAGGUGGUUUAAGAUUGGUAUUUGAGAAAUUGAUCCAAACUACCCUGGGUAGGGUUAGAAACCUUCAACCUCCAAGAUGAUGUAAGGGAGAAAGGGUAUCUGGAGCCCAUGUUUCUCUGGAUUUAUGGUCAAAAGGGUCCUCUCCUCUAAGGAGUGUUAAUAUUAAAACUGCAGGCCUCCAGACACAUAGGAAAUGCCUAUUGACCACAGACAAGAACUGAGUUUAAGAGGCAUAGGUGACAAUUACCCAACUGUGAAUUUACCUAGAUACUGUUUUUAUGUCUCAUCUGAAAGGUCAAGACAGUGAUCCAAAACCAACUGGCCAUUGGUUUGAUACCGAUUCAAUGGAGAAGUGUCAUCUAUAGAAUCGCCAACACCACUUCCCACAUCACUUUGGAUGUUCCUUGGAAAUCCAACUUACUGCCAUUCUAGUACUGAACAGUCCAACCCUAAAGCUACAUAUUAACUAGAGUGGAUUUGUGGGAACACCUUGUUGUCAAUUUGGAAAACUACAUGCCUUUAUUCAUAAAGGUGUGACAUCCAGUCUUGUGUAGAGGGCCAUUCCAAGGCCUUUGAACCAUUUAAGGUCACUUCCAGAUAGGCUCAAUGCUGAGGAACUGGUCUGGAGUGUGGAGGGAGAGGAGUUCGGUGUAUACUGUUGUGCAACAGAAGAAGUUAUAAUUUGUUUAAUAUUAUUAGUAGUAAAUAUGGUAAUAUCCAAGGCUGCAAUUGGGAUUGAGGCCCUAUUGUGCUGGGUGCUGUACAAUCACAAAAGAAAAAGAAACAACCCCUGCCCUGAAAGAUUUAUGAUCUAAAGAUUUAGUCCUUACAGUAUGCUGGGAAAAGUACAAUUAGCUAAAGAGGUUUUGACUCAGAAAAGCAGUGAAGCAGUAUCUACAGAAAUAGGAAGAAGAAAUACGAGGAGGUAUUAGCUUACAUGGCUUUUGCUCGCUCUCCACCUCUUUUCUUAGAACAUUCACAAAAACAGGAAAAGAUUGCCUGAUUUCCUUAAUAAGGGCCCAAUUAUUCUGUCAGCUACACUGGUGUAAAUCUUGGAUAAUUCCUUUGGCUUCAGAAUGUUACUUUAAAUUUACAUUAAUAUAUUUGAGAAAAGAAUUUGGCCCUACAAAGGACAGACAGGAAAUUCCUUUGAUGAUCAUCAGCUGAAUCGGGCUUUAUUGGCAUGACAAGCUGUUUGAGUGUUGCCGAAGUUUAAGAAAAAGACCGGCCAUCAAUCAUCUAUGGGUGGCAGGUAUGAGCCACCCAGAAUAGAGUUACACACUGGAUUUUGGAUCAGAUCCCCUGUGUCUGUCUGUCAUUACAAUCCUUUCCUGAUCUUCUAGCAGGUUGAUGUAACAUGAAGUCAAAACAGAAUAUCAUUUGGUUAUGAGCAUUGGGAGGAUAUGUCAAUAUGAAAAUAUUAAGAGAAUAUGUAAAUUGAUGAAGAUUCACUCUUGUGUGUAGCCAGCCAGGCUAGAGUGACAAACAGGGUCAGUGUGAGCUGUGCCUCUGCAUUUUUAGGAAGCAGCCUGCUUUCUCUCUCUCUGAUUUUGGAUUCUUACUUGUUACUGUUCUGAAUUCUAAGAAUGAAGUAGUAUUUGUUGCAAGCUUCCA